rnacentral:rRNA from 1 species
AUUGAACGCUAGCGGGAUGCCUUACACAUGCAAGUCGAACGGCAGCAUAAGAGAGCUUGCUCUCUUGAUGGCGAGUGGCGAACGGGUGAGUAAUGUAUCGGAACGUGCCCAGUAGCGGGGGAUAACUACGCGAAAGCGUAGCUAAUACCGCAUACGCCCUACGGGGGAAAGGAGGGGAUCUGCAAGGACCUUUCACUAUUGGAGCGGCCGAUAUCGGAUUAGCUAGUUGGUGAGGUAACGGCCCACCAAGGCGACGAUCGGUAGCCGGACUGAGAGGUUGAACGGCCACAUUGGGACUGAGACACGGCCCAG